GGAGAGGUGGCCGAGUUGGCUUAAGGCGCACGCCUGGAAAGCGUGUGGGUGUAACAGCCUCGCAGGUUCAAAUCCUGUCCUCUCCGCCA
rnacentral:tRNA from 1 species